GUCCCUGUAGUUCAAUGGAUAGAAUUAUGGUUUCCGGUACCAUCGAUGGGGGUUCGAAUCCCUCCAGGGGCA
rnacentral:tRNA from 2 species